ACAUCCAUGGCUGAAUGGUUAAAACACCCAACUCAUAAAUGGUGAACUCGCGGGUUUAAGUUCUGUUGGAUGCA
rnacentral:tRNA from 1 species